rnacentral:rRNA from 1 species
UACGUAGGGCGCAAGCGUUGUCCGGAAUUAUUGGGCGUAAAGAGCUCGUAGGCGGCCUGUUACGUCUGCUGUGAAAUCUCAGGGCUCAACCCUGAAACUGCAUUCGAUACUGCGUGGCUAGAGUGCUGGAGAGGAGACUGGAAUUUACGGUGUAGCAGUGAAAUGCAUAGAUAUCGUAAGGAAGACCAAUGGCGAAGGCAGGGUCCUGGCUGGCACCUGACGCUCAUGUGCGAAAGCCAGGGGAGCGAACGGG